rnacentral:lncRNA from 1 species
CAGGUCUCUCCGCCCCCGGCAUUGCACACGCCGUCCCCGCAGCACGUCAAAGUACCGUUGCUGAGGCGCGUGCCGCAGUCCGCCUGGCAUGUAAGGCAGGUCUCACCGCCUGCGGGUGUGUGGAAAAUGCGGCCAGUAGGAUACGACAGCACAAAUGUCGACGCUCGCGUCACACCAGCCACGCAUUACUGUAGUAAUAAAGCCAGCCAGCCAGCCAGCCAGCUGUUCUUCCUCUGCACACAUAGCCGCGAAAAGCAACCUGCCUACCUGAGCAAAAUCCAUCUCCACACACAACGCACGCUCCGCAAUCCGCAGCACACGAGGAGCACGUCUCGCCCGUAGAGCAGGUUCCAUCACCGCACACAACCGGGGCAGGCGGCGGAGGCGGUGGGGGCACAGAUGAGGGUGCCCAACGGAGGCCGAUGAUGUUGUCCCCAGACCCCGACAUGAAGCCGACAUUCGCACUGUAAGAGAUGCGGAAGAAGCCAUUAUCGCCCCAACCGGUGCCCCAGCUGUUCUUGGCAAUCCAGUACGACCUGCACAGUGGGAAACAUGGACACGCACAUGUAGGGGCUUUGCGGCGGAAGCUGGGUUGAGGGUUUUAGUGUCUUCAGGUUUCAAGAUUUUUAGGUAUGAGCCCACUGUAACAACCACACACACAUUCAAAAUGCAGACUGCUACUGUUGAGGUCGUUUUAACAUGGCAUACCAUUAGGUCAUAGCAUCACGUACCAGUGAUAAAGCACGGAACCGCGUCAUGGUCACACGCGAACAUGCUUCAAUUCCCAUCGUUCGAUGUACGAUGAGUCAGUACAGUACUGCUCAAUGCAAAUCUAUAUUAUUGGUAUGCAGCCUCAGCAAAAUAGCCUUUCCUAAAUUUUACUCAUCCUUACCCUGUGUCGUUGUAGCCGAUGGUCACAACCUGUUGGUAACCAGCCAGAGGGCUCACACCGUCCCAGACGUACGGCCUGUAUGUACAAGUUACAAGUUACAAGUGCCGCACGAGUGCGGGGGGGUCCGUCAAAGCCGGGAGGCCAUGGACUAUAUAUUGAAAGUUGAUUACACCGUACGACCGACGGCGGGUUGGGUCCUGCCAACUAGACCCCUCCUCAUCCAGUCACCCAACAUCCGGAGAGACAGAUCAGCCACCACCACCAUCUCAGCAUGCGAAACUUAGUCCAUCAACUAGACCUCAUCUCCACACCUCAGCAGCGUUAGUAAACCUAGACCUCCCGAACAAUGUCGGGGGUCUGACCAGGAAUCAAACCCGGAACCUUCAUAUACACAAAGGCGCCACCAGACCAGACCAUGUAGUUAUGUAGUUAUCAGUCGUUCAUGCGUUCAGCACAUGCCACAAGGAGGCAAGUUCAAAAAAGGAGUUAGGAGCUAGGCACCCCUCAUUCAGGCAUUUUUAUAUUUACUACCGUACACACAAAAAAAACUAGAUAUUCCAGGAGUCGGGCUGCAUGAUGACAAACUAUUACCGUCGUCGUCUGUAAAUGUGUGAGUAUUCAUACACCAUUUAGACUAUCUAUUAUACGUACCAUGUACGGCGCAACCUUUAGGCCAUUCGACUUAUAUAAGAUCUACUUAUUUCUCGGUCCUACCUACGACCUUGUUUAUCGAUGAUAGAAAAAACCUACAGACGGGAGUCAACCUGCUGUGAAUUUGUGCAGCAUGAACUUACUUUGAGCUGACAGGCCAGUAGAAGAAGUCGUUGUAUACAGCAAAGUACGUAAUUACAGCGCCACUCGUACGGAUGUGAUUCUUCGCCUGCGCAAUACAUUAACAGACAGCAUCAGGCAGCACAGCCGUGAAGGGCUUUCUUCCCUGCUGCAUCACGCUCCCUGCUUGGAUGACUACUAAGUUUGCACAGUAGGUGUAGUAGCUGGCCGCUGAAAAGCCUCUCGAGAUGCUGGUGGAGCGCUUAGCGCGCAUUUGUAGUUGUUAUGUGUGCCGAACUGUGUAUCAGUACUACUGUAAUACCAGGCAAAGAGUACUCAGUUGGGAGAUGCCAGGGGAGCUGAUCCCUCUUACAACUACAGCAGGGAAAAACUUGAUCCAAUUUUUGAUCCAAUACCGAACGAGGUUUAUGGUGGGUGCAUAUUCGUCCAAACUUUGCGUAUGUAUGACCAAACCAUGAGUGUGUACGUACAGGUGUAGGGGGGGGAUAUCACCUAUGUCUUAGCUGAAGUCUUGGACAGGCUCAGGAAGCGGAGUGAUGCGAAUAACCUUGCAGAGGGGCCCUUCGAGGCAUGCCUAAAGGACAGAGCAGUGCAGCUUCAGAUAUCUUUCAUGCGGCAAAUUGUAGGAGCUGCCGGACCAACACACCGCCUCCUGUUUGCAGAGCUGUCGCAGCUACCCCUACACUACCACGUUCUCAAGCAGGUUGUGAGGUUUUGGAACCAUGUCCGUUUACAGCGUGGGUCUGUGGCACACCAAGUUUUGCGACAGGAGGUCGCAGAGUCCCUCUCCAACCCCGAAGGGGCCGGAUGGGGGACACUACUCCUCCGUUUUCUAUGUUUUUUGGGGCACGACGUAUGGAAAGAGGCCCCGCAAGGGCUACACGAGGUAGACGAACGAGUGGAGUGGCUGAUGAACAGGCCAAUGCCAGAAGGUGUGAUUUUGGAGUUCAAGGACCGAUUAGUGAGUGGUUGGAAGCAUACGCGUUUAGAUGUCCAGCCUGACGUGUAUCCGUCAGACGGCAAGCAACCAGGAAUCCACAUGGCGAAGUAUAAGCAUUGGAUGGGUCUGGCGGCCGAGCAAGCGGGCAGGAAGGAGGUGCUCCCGCAUAUCACAAUGUUUAUCCCGCAUUCGGCGAAUCGCAAGCUUAUGCAGUUUAGGCUUUGCUGUUGGGCACUGGAGGCUAACAGAGCGCGUAAGGGACGGCGUUAUAUACCUAGGGAGGAGCGAGUAUGCCCUUGCUGCGGCACUGAUAGCCACAUCGAGGAUGAGAAACACAUUUUGCUGGACUGUCCGGUGUACGACAAAAUCAGAUCUGAUAUGGGCUUUCCACGCUUCGAACAUAUGAAGGACGCUAUGAAGUGGGAACCUGAACGCCUGGCAAGGAUGCUGGAACGCAUAUGGUCCCACCGCAACUCUAUCGUUCCCUUUGGUCGUUAGUAUCCUUCAUCACUUGUUUCGUUGGAAGUGCGAGGUAGGAUGGUGCUUAUAGGCGAUUUGGCAGCCCUUGAGCCCUCGGCUCGUACUGGGGUGGUUUGCAGGUACAGGGAACGCACCCACGACCAUGUAACAACAACAACAACCUAUGUCUUUGCCUAAUUGGUGCCAGUAGAAUCAUGUGGAGAGGUUUACUAGGAAAACUGCAUGAUGAACGUGUGGAGGACCAUAUCCACCAGAAUGCAGUCCGACAUAUCGAAACCGGAACCGGGGUCUGGGUUGGGGCAUUCCAGGCGCUACUGUGUCGCAGCGGACAGCUUCAAAAUAAAGCCCGCACAUAUAUCCUGAGAUGGGAAUCCUUGAUAUCUCGGGUAAGCCUUUGCGCCGCGCUGCUACACAUACACUGUCAGACACUCUGUCCACGGAAGUACGGAAGUAUGAAGUACGGAAGUACGGAGGUACGAACGUACCACGGUGAGAUCUGUGAUGUAGGCCUUUUUGAAAAUACCGCCAGCUCGCCUCUCCGGUGCAGAAUGAAGUGUGCAGGUCGGCACGCUUGGGUUGUACGGAUAAUUAGCCUCGUAUGGUAUGGUCUUGACUGCAAGGGCCUUUGUGGCUGACGUUGCAUACCAGCCGUUAUCGCAGGAUGCUGCUGUGUCCACGCCGUUGCAAAAGAAGAGCCUGCGGGUGUAGCAGCAGCAGUUGCAUACAAACACACAUAAAUCUCAACUCAGGGAGCGUUGUGCAAUUGACGACUUGCAUGUAUUUCGGGAUCACUUUGCCACCUUGUUAAACCCAGGAGUUGGGGAUACGGGUGUUGAAGGUGCACAUCGGCUCCUUAACUAUAUAUUAUUUCUGGGGCCCCUUUGGGAGAGGGUGCUUGGCAAGCAUGUCGGACUGUCAUGGACAGGAGGGCACGGGCAGCUAGCAUCCUGGAUGAGCCUUUCACCUUGGAGGAGGUAGCGCGUGCUGUCGGUAGGUUACCAAACGAGAGGGCUCAUGGGCACCAUCGGAACGUUACCGUUAUGCACGCCUCCCACGGGUGGAUGAGCAGGGCAGGCAGGGAACGGAGGUGAACUGUAUCGUUCCAGCGCUGGACGUUUUGUUAUUAGAGCACAUCAGGGCAACUGGUGACGUCACCAGUUGUGGAAAGUCGACUUUCCACAGCAGUUUACCAAAACGGUGGUAUCCCCAAUUUUGAAGAAGGGUGACCAUUGGUGGCAGGAAGUUAUCGGGGCAUUGCAGUUGGAGGAGCACUUGUGAAAUGCUAUGCGUCAGUGAUUCUUGACCGUCUGGUACGUGUUGAGGAACCUGCGGCACCCAUGCCAAGCGGGUUUCAGGGGGGGUGUUGGCACCGCUCAUCACCUCUUUGUCAAGCAACACCUGGUCAGGCGGCAUCGGAUCACGGGGCAGCCGCCGUUGAUAAUAGUACAGAUUGACUUUGAGAAGGUAUUUGGUAGGGUGCCUCACGAGCACAUGUGGCUUCGAUUGCAGAAGAGGGGGAUUAGCGGCCCCAUGCUAAAUGCUCUGAGAAAAGCGUACGAGAAGGUGUCCAUGGUGAUUAAGGUAAAUGAGAAAGUGGGGGGAGAGUUUGAGUCUAAGCAAGGCGUGAAGCAAGGGUGUCCUUUAUCUACGGCCGACGUGUGAAUGCGGUGCUUUGCAACCCAAGAUCGAGCAUUUCUGUUGUAUGGCUGCCAGGUGUAGGGCCCUUUUGCGCUGGCAGAGGUCGUGGACAGGGCUUGAAGGCGGCGGGACAAAGCCAACCUUGCGGAGGGCAUGUUCGAAGCCCGUUUGAAGGACAUUUGAAGGAUAGCGCAGUCCAGCUGCAGAUUUUAUUCAUGAGGCAGGUAGUGGGGACGGCACGGCCAUCCCACAGGCUGUUGUAUGCGAAGCUGGCUGGACUCCCCUUACAGUAUUACAUGGUGAAACAGAUUCUCCGUUUCUGGAACCGCCUUCAAAAGCAAGUGGGGCCCAUUGCUCAUGCAGUUUUACGGCAGGAGAUAGCGAUGCCCUGACCAACCCGGAAUGGGAGGGUUGGGGAACUUCAAUGUUGCGACUGUUUUCCUUCGUGGAGUGCAAUAUUUGGAGCGGAAUACCGCAAGAAGUCAUGGGGGUAAAGGAGCAUGUCGACUGGUUGUUGAGUAGGCCUCUACCCGAAGGAGCGAUGAUAACUGCACUAAGAGAGCGUUUGAUGAGCGGCUGGGACCAUACGCGUCCGACUGCCCUGCCAGAGGAGUACCCAUCAGAUGGGGAGUGCAAAGUAUAAGCACUGGAUGGGGCUGCCCUUUUCGGGAGCCGCAGCCGUCAUGUGGCCAACACAUGCUAAGGUUUUCAUUCCUCGUUUAGCACAUCGUAAGCUAAUGCAGUUCCAUUUAUGUUGCUGGGCUCUGGAGGCAAACAGAGCACGAAGGGGCAAGUACCAUGUCCCCAGGGGGCAGCGGUUUCGCCGCUGUUGUGGUACUAAUAGCCGAAUCGAGGAUGAAAAACACGUGUUAUUGGAAUGCCCAGCUUAUAAUGACAUCCAUGCUGAAGAGGGAUUCAAUCAUCAACAGAGCAUGUCGGAGGCCAUGCAAUGGGAACCAGUACGUCUGGUGAGGAUGUUGGAACGUAUGUGGGCUCACUGAAACUCAGUUACCCCGUGGUAAUUCCUGUUCUCCGUGGCUUUUAGGUGUAUAGAUAUUGCCGUUGGGCCUUCGGCUCGUAUGGGUAGUCUUACAGGUAUGGGGUCAUGCAACCCCAACCAUCGACAAUCAUCUUUGCCGGUUGUCAACAGCAGUGUAUCCAGAUCAACAGCAGCGCAACUUUUAGUCACAUCGGCAGCUAGAAGCAUUAACAGCAGCAUCAGCACUUGUAGUUGCAGCAGCAGUGCAUGCAGCUGCAGUGGUAACAGCAGCAGGGACAGCAUUAUUCGCGGGUUAGCCACAGCAGCAGGGAGAUAUCAUCAGCAGCGAAAGCAUUAUCAGCAGGGGCAGCAUUAGCAGGAUUAGCAGCUGCUGUGGCACAUACGUACCAGUGCUCCGACAGGUCGAUGUUGGCUGCAGACAUGUUGCCAGCCACCGCCACUGCCGUCUCAGCUAAGCCUGUGGUGGCGAAGGCCACACAUGAGCCGCAGCUACCUUGAUCUUUUACUGGAGAGACAUAAUUAUACGAUCCAUUCACACGGGAAUCCCAUGCCGGAUAUGCCACCGCUUUAACGACGUCCGUGUAGGUGUAGCUGCCCAUCGUGGAGCUAGAUUGGGCCAGAGGGGUCUGCAGCAGAUACAUGGUGUAUCGGUUAGCCAACCCGCCAACCGGCCAUGGCAUUAGUUAGGUGUACAGUUGGUGGUUACAAGCAGUGGUUACAUACAGUGGUUCCUAACAGUUGUAAUGAGUUGGGAAGUGGUCAUGGCAGGUCGUAGUGGUAGCUUCAAACCUCGAUCAAACACGCUAAUAAUGCGCGGAUCUUCUUGGGUGGUACCGAUUUAUUACUUCUCCAGGGUUUAGGGUUUAGGGUUGGGAAUAAUGCCUUUCCAAGAACCACACUUACGGAUAUGGCCAAGCAGAACAUUUAAUUAUUGCGGGAUCCAUGCAAAAAGCGACAGCGCUUAUGAAGACGAGAAGGCACAUAACGAACCCACUCCAUGCACGAACCUUUGCAUCAGUGAACGCCUUGCUGAUGUCGUCCCGAGACAAACUCUCCGCGUUACGAGGGUCGAACUUCUUUCCUUUCAGCUUUGCCGAAACCUGACAGGGUAAGGUUCAUUGUGCAAAAGAGUAUGUCUGUUUGAAUGUAUGUGCACGCCUUAGCAUAGUUAGAAACAGGGUUUACAGUUUUUACCCACAAGCUGUAAGCUAGCCGUCAACCAGCAUGGCAUACAUACACACCUAAACCUACAGUCGAAGCCACACAGUUACCCGCAGUUGCUCACCAUACAUACUCCAACGCACAGCCUGCUAUGGUAUGCCGGGCAGUGGACAUUUAUGUGCCCGUGGCACCUCAAUUACAUACAGGGACUCUUUUUCAAGGACGUAAAAGCACUCAAACAAUGACACAGGCAUAUAUUUACGACAGCUGUACUCACGCGUACCUAGCGCAUUCAGACUUGAUCAAGACAUACAUACACUCCUACGCGUGCAUAGCUGCAUACCUUGCUCGCGGCCGCCGCGGCUGCCAUCAUGUCCAGGGUCUUCUUUGCAGCCGCCAGGCGCAUAGUGUCCACAUUUUCGCCGUCCUGUGCGGGGUGGCGUCAGAAGGGCACAAAAAACGCCUACAUCAACAUGAAGCGCUAAUACUGAAAAAUUGCGAUUCUGCCCGAUAAAAAGUUAGGGUUAGCAUCACCUUCCUCACUGUUGCAGAGCGAAUGGCGUCUUUUUGUAUACGUACACAGGCACGUGGCGUGUUAGUGGAUAAAUGCGGCGGUGAUUACAUAUUGGCAUGCAUGGGGAAGGGCCAUGUGCGCGUGCGGGUAUGCUUGAGGAAGGAGCGUGAUUGAGAGCGGCGCGUGUUUGGGACAUAGCCAUGUUUAGGCACCGGGCAGCUGAUAAACAAACAGCGGGCAUAACAUCCUAGCGACUCACGGGCAGGCACAGGCCUGAAAGAGUUCGCUUGGAGACGUAGGUGCCGUCACAUGGCUUCACGUCAGCAGCGCUACCAUCCAUGAUGGAGAACGCGGGUUGCAUGGGGGCAAUCAGCAGAUCACCAGCGGCAGUGAAGGCGUUGCAUCGCGGGGUCCUCCUGCAAUCCGCUGCGAGGCUGGCGGGGGUCGCACUCGCGGACGCGGAGCUGCUAGGUGACAAAAUGUAAGCUGCCGGGAUUUCUUGCAGCUGGUAGAAAUCGUAGCCGUCAACUGCUGGGCAGGUGGUUCCUGUUGAGGAAGACGUCGCCAAGGAGGCGAGCAAGGUUGAUAGGGCGAGAAAUGAGAAAAUGGAGAGUUGAUGUGGAAGAAUGAUAUGGGCGGUGAUCAGCAGGAAACGAUUCCGUGGAGUAAGUUGCGACAGCACCUGGAGGGAAUGUGUGAAGGGUCAUACAUCUACAGGGACGGAUUACCACCCGGGAGAGAAGCGCAUAUCCCUGUAGUGGGGGGCAAAGGAGUGUCAUCCAGAGGGGAGGAGGCAGCAGGUUGUGCGGUGCUGCUUACGCAGCUGUACUAUCCGCAACAAUAAUGCGGUCGGAGGUAAGAAAUGACGGUAAUGAAGGUGACAGCGGUAACGAAGGUAACAAAGGUAACGAAGGUAACGAAGGUACUGAAGGUAACGAAGGCAACGAAGAUAACAAUUGAGGGCAUGGAGGGUAAUUGCCUUGGCCGACAGACAUUGUGGCUGUUGGUGAACGUGCAGGCCUGAACUUAUACCCGACCGCCAUGCUUAUAAGCGCUAGGGAACACACAGCGGCAAUAAACUGGACUGCAAUACAGCGGUGAUGCCACUUGGGUACCUACCUUGGCUGCUUACGAGUCCCCAAAGGUAGAGCAUUGCAGGAAUAAAUAAAGCUAUAUUCCUAAGCGUUGACAUAACUCUGGGCGCCAUGGCUUCUGUCAAAUCCUGAAGGUGGCAUCCAUGUAUGGCGACGACGGGAUCCAGAGGUGAAGCUCUGUGCGCAGGUAUGCAUAUGAGAACAUAGAAGCCACCUUUGACUGAAACUUACCUAAGCGUGCCUCGCACAGCUCGGCGGGUGGAAUUGCCCUAGAGCUGCGAGUGAGGUACUGUCUUACUUAAGGCGCAGCAAAGCUUAAAUUAUUCUCCUCAGAAACGUUUAGGAUAUUUGAAGUAAUUUUGGCCACGUAGGCUACCGCAAACAGUGGGCCCCUGCGUUUUAUAAACCUAUGUCGUACGUUAAGAAACCCUCAAUAUUUACCGUACUUAUGCCUACUGCACUCACAGCGCUCUUCUGCAGCUCACAUGCUUUCUGGGGCUUACACACACACCAAGCAGAUAUCUAGCUGGGUGUGUGGUUGUUACAGUGGGAUCCAGACUCACGAAGAGCAAAAAUGUCUCCUGCAUAGUAUUCAUGAUCUCACGGCCUUAUGAGUGGAUUGUUGAAAUGACCGCUUGCGUGGUUUGCCUGCAGAAUUCACAGGUUAGAUCUCGACUAUUAUCUUUAGGACUUACAAGAAAAUGUCCAUGUGUGCUCCGGUGUAGCGUGCAUCAACGAAUCCGCAUACCGCUUCCUCUCGACUGCUCCAAUUUAAGUUUCAAAGUUGAUGACGAAAUAAUAGUUUCUGUUGGAAAUGACUGACACUCUGUUCUAAAUGGUAACUAUGACUGACACUCAAAUACUGGAAAAUGGUUACAGCAGUAAGGGGAUGUUUCCACUUGGAUUAAAAAUCGCGGAUUAAGGUUAGCGCAAUUAGUUAGCGAUUUCCGCCUGUAUUCGCGCGCUUCGCGGAUUAAAUAUAGAUUAUGCUAUGAAAUGAGCAUCUUCAAGCAUUCUUCAAGCAUUCUUCAAGCUCAAACUUGGUGGGAAAAAAUUGCUACCUGGUGGCCACCACCUGCACGCAUCAAAUUGACAAUCUCGGAUUAACACUUCUUACGACGCCUCAUAAAAACUCCGAUUAAUAGGUUGGAAGGUUAUCCUUUAUAAAGGCUGUAAGUGUUCCUAGUUUUGUAGAAGCUUUUUGUUCGGCAUUACGCACCACACAAGGUGCUGCAAGGUUCAAAAGGUGCUGCAAGGCCUUCAUGUUGAUACUCGAUAGUCUUUUAAAUGUCUGGCAAUACUCGUUUUGUAUUUUAUGCACGGAAUGGCAAAUGCUGUACCUCAAUCCGUUCCUUAAUCCAGACACGGAUUGGCGCAGAUUGAAAAUACCUUAACCCGUGACUUUUAAUCCAAGUGGAAACACCACCUAAUAGGACCCAACGGGGUUCCGCCGCUUUGCUGGUCUUAACAGUUACCUUAAACAUUUAGUGCAAUAUCUGUGUAAUCUUACUUGAUAAAUUAUAAACAGCUUGGAAUUAAGCAAGAGGCAUGCAGAGGGCUAUCCGAGCGAAAAGCGUACAAUCUCGUCUGCCCUGUAAUCCAUGGGUUGCCUUACUGGAAUGAAAAGGAAAUAUUGAAACAUUAUAAAACAGAGCAAUGUUAAGGAGGGUUACCGCGCGAUGCACCUUGCUUGCCAUGUAAGCCAUGAACAAAUCAAUCAAGGUCAUCAUAAUUAUGUUUCUUUCUCAGACGGAUAUAAAACUCUGAACUCUGGUUGUGAGUGCUGCCACGUGCGCUAAUGCCGGUGUGGGAGGCAAUGCCUGUUCCUGCAGUAGGCUCCCACAAGUGGUUAGGGUUGUGCCGGUAUUAGAACAUUAGAACUAAUAUUAGAAAAAAUAUAAUUAGAAUCUAAUAAGAAUUUUAGAAGACCCCGUUUAGAACGUAUUAGAACAUCCUAAUGUCGUACGGACAUUAGAACGGCCGGAAAGCCGUAGCUUUAAGGUGCAUCAGCGGUUCUACUGCGUGCAUUUUACACGAAAAUGUCAGAUAGAGGUGCGGGGCCAUCAAAGCCACCCCUUCCUCAUCGGAAGGCGGAAGCAUCAGGGCCAAUGUACAAGUAUGGCAACAAGGAACUUGAUGCAAAAGCGUAUGCAGAAGCUCUGACCUCCGCAAAGAAGAAGGGUCUUGCAGCUUAUUGGACUUCUUUCAACGUUCUGCGGCCGUUUUUGCAUUCCCCUUAGCGAGCAAGCACUCCCCGGCAGUGAUGUGGUGAUUUUGUGCAAAUAGGGACGUAAAUGGACAGGUUUGGCGGCGUUCUUGGUUGUUUCCGCAGCGGUCUGGCGUGGGUUUGGCUAGCAGGCACCAGAUUAGCCCUUCCUCUCUGUGUUUUUGCAUUCCCCUUAGCGAGCAAACACUCCCCCGGCAGUUAUGUGGUGAUUCUGUGCAAGUAGGGACUUAAAAGGACAGGUUUGGCGGCGUUCUUGGUUGUUUCCGUAGCAAGUCUGGCGUGGGUUUGGCUGGUAGGUACCCUCCCCAGGCACCCGACCGGAGUAAAUUUAAUUGGAAAUGCGUGCGUUUACAUCUGUGAUGGCCUAUACAAAAUUUCAGGUUCAACGGACCCCUCCCUGAAAAGUUGUCGAGCGUCUUCUAAUAUUAGAUCCUAAUUUCUAAUUAGAAUCUGAUAAGAAUUUAGAUUAGAACGGAAAGCAUUCUAAUGUCAGGAACAACCCUACAAGUGGUGUGGCUGCAGGCUGCACAGGUGCUGGAGCAGGCCCGCAUUGCGGUGGGGCCACAUCUGGAUCCACACACACACUGGUGGCCCGUAUGGUUGUGCCCCCCAUACUGCUCAUACAGUGGUGGCCAGUGCAGCUGCAGCGUGGCAGCCCACUUAGGUAGCAGUGGCUGAUGGGUAUUAGAACCAAGUUGUGCCUGGAGGGUACGAUUGCAGUGCGUGAAAUGAACCAAGCAUGCUGGCCAUACUCUGAAGCAAGCUGUUUGUAUUGCCAAGGACAUGACAUCCUUGUGUGUAGAGGCUCAGCACACCGACCCAUUAGCAAGCAUUAUAAUACAAUAGCUAGCGGCACAUGAGGACUUUAUUCGGCUAAUUAGGUAUCUGCAGCAGGCCAAUCUGACACACGAUGGAUGCCUGGGAGCUGUAAAAAGCAUCUGAUGGUAUCAGGACAAACUGGUACCGAAGUCUGUUUUUAAGCCUGUGAGCCCGGCCGCAUCUGCUGGAUUGAGUGCCAGUCAGCUUGAUCGCAGAGUCUGUGGACACCAGCACACGGUUAACUUGUGUUGCUGUGGCCACCCAGCACCAUGCACGGUUCUGUAUCCACAGUGUUGUGCUCAGCCGCUUUGUGGCUUCCAUGGAUCUAGCUGCAGAGCUAACUAUACAUCCUUAGCAGCCUUCAUGCCGGUAUGCAGGCCAUGUUUUUGGACCUAGUGGUGCAGUGCUGGCUUCAAAGCACAGCACUGUUGCCUGGUCCGUUACCCACACCAGGGGGUCAUCCAGUGCACCCCGCCUUCCUACAGAAACCAGCCAAGCAUUGGCACCGUGUUAUUGGUGGGAUGUCAUGCCCUGGAAUGCGAAACGAUUUUUACACCUGCCUGUACGGCUGUUCCCAAGCGGGUGUACUGGGGCCGCGGGACAUUGAGGCUGCCAUCAUGGACAUGGGAGGUGACACAGAGUAAGCGGUGGCUUGGUGUAGCAGCCGGUACACAGUACGGUGCUAUAAAUAUGUGCAGAGUGCGACCGCCAGCAACCCGAGAGACCUUUUCAGUGGUCAGCUGCUACAUUUGGUACCCGGCAUGGCGGUCUGAUAAGUUCAUGUGGGUCAGGCAAAAGCAAGGAUAACGUGUUGGAUACCCUGAGGGAAUUCUGUGUGCCGACUGAUCCACUUAAUAGGGUCUGAAAGCUCAUCAUGCACCUGUCGAUAUCUGGUCCGCCUGACAAAUGUUGACCCACAUGGGAAUCCUGACAUGGCACCACAGGCACAUUCUUCCAGGAGAACCAGCUUCUGGCAUACUAUGGCAAAAUUGACUCCAUCUGGUCUGUUGUCAGUAGUUUCUCCUCCUCAGCUGAACAGCUGUGUGCCAUGUGUCAGGCCCAAAUCACCAAUUGAAGUGUUCAGCCAAUGCUGCUGCACUGCGAGUUGCUGUGACACGGUGAGUCAUGGUCGAACUAGGUGUCAUUGUCCCCUUCUGUUUUGCCGAGGGACUGGAGUUUGCAGGGCACAUUGAGCUGUUUGAGCGGCUCAAGGCAGUCACAUCCGCAUUGAUCACCGAGCAGGCAGAUCAGCUGGUGCUGGACAGGGAGAUUAAGAGGCAGGCAUCCCUUCUCCAGGCUGAUAGAGAGAGGCUACAGGUGUACACAUCACGCAGUGAACUCGUCCGGCUGCUCGAAACAUCACAACGAGGUAUGAUGCAGUGUCAAUAUGCAUGAGUAGUGUAGGCUUGCAUGUGUCUGCACAUGCCGUGACUUGUUAACCAUUGGAUCUCAGUUGCCCGUUAAUUCUGAACAUGGCCGGUCCACUUGUGCACGAUUUCAUGUCUCUCAAUCUGAACGGGCCAUCCCUCAGCAAGACAUUCAAGGACAGGGAGCACUUGGUGUGGUUUCAGCUGGGAGAACUAGAGGCAAACCUACAUAAUGUGCAUUGGUGUGAACAUGUCCAGCGGUUGUGGCGCCAUGAGCACUCUGGGAAAACGGGGGUCAUUUUACCUAUAAAUUUGGGUCAAUCCACCCGUCAUUUGACAGAAAUUAUGGGUCUGUGACAUGUUACACGUCCCGUAAUUUGAGCACAAGGAUACGGGUGAACAUUUAUGCACCCAUGGCCAUAAACAGGCCGAUUGGCACAACUGGAGAGGCGUGGCUGCCAAAGGCAGACAGCUUGUCAGUAUAAGUCAGGUACAGGCUUUGGCGGUCCUUGAGGGUCAGCAGGCUGCUUGCACACUGGCUUGUCACGCCAGCCAUGUUGGCCAGGGUGUCGAUGGGGUAAUUGCCUUCACGGUUGGGGUGGAGGAAGAAACCCGCCUCCAGGGAGAACCAGAGGUGCAUGCCUGCCUCGGCAUUUGAGGCAGUCUGGUGCGGGUCGCCCUGCUUGCGCCUUGCCUUGCACCUGUAGCUGCUGCCACACCACCCUGAGCUGUCCCGGCGGCCGCUGUGGUCACUGCUGCCCCAGUGUCUGACCAUUUCUGCAUGUAAAGUGCCUGGAGCCCACGCAGGUCCGACAGACUGGCGCCAGCACCCUCACUCCCACCCACAACAGAAAGGCUGGUUAGCAUCUUGGAUGCCACGUUCACCUUCAUGGCGAGCUUCUGCAUCAUUGCAUUCCUGUCCUGACCGUCCUUAGUGCUAUGGUUGACCCCCUUCUUUUCUCCGUGUUGGUUCCCCUUGGCAUGUGUCAGAUUCCUGUGGUUUGGUGAGGGGAGGAGCUGGGCCUUAUCCACUAGCACCUAGAUCAUCAUGAUUCCGGUCUGGCAGUUUGAUCAGUUGUCUUCAGAAGGCCCUUCAGUUGGUCCCGUGCAUGUGUGGUGGCUGGCCUCUGCAUCCCCGCCAUGCUCCAUUCACCCAACCACUCACAUGCGGACACUGCUCCAGAGAUGCUGCAGCAGGUACUUCUGGUCGGGUGCCACCUGCCCAAUGCCCGGAACGAGCCAGGGGGCCUUGCUCCUCUGGCAACCCUGCACAACCUGGCUGGUCAGCAGGUCUGUGUGGGCAGAGAGUGCGGCCUCAUGUGCACCCACGGACACCAGGUCUAGCCACAUCCACACCAUCACCACCAACUCCCCGUCUGGUGUCGGUGCCCCAGAAAAGGGCAGGUCUCCAUUGUACUCGGUAGUCAGGAGCAUGUAGCAGAUGAACCCUUUUGGGUGGUUGGCAGGAGAGAUGCAGGGGAGGGGGGGUGGCACCACGGUGUGGCCAAGACAUCAUUUGGCCUCAUUGGUGGAGCAGCGUACCAAGCAACAAGGCUCAGGGCCAGUGGGCCUAUGGAGUCGAACGUUCAAGCGCCACCCCCCAAGGGGCUAAAGGGGAAAAUGCGGUGUGUGGGCUCUUGGAACAUGUAGAACAUGUAAGUCGAAUCUGACAUUCAGCACCCAAUAACAGGACACAGGCUCACUGGUGAUCAGGUCUGUGUAGGCCAGCCCGUGCAUGCUCCCAAUUGGAAGCACCCCAUUGUCCUCCUUGUCCAGCAGGUGAAGCUUCCUGUGCUGAUGUCGUGUGGCCAUAGGCCCUCGAAGCCUGGCGGGGUCCGGUUUGGCCAUGCCCCAGCAUUAGUCAGUGCUUGGCACAGACUUCCAGUUCUAGUCUUGAGCAGUACAAGCCAGGGUAGCUAGGGCCUGGAAUCCAGUACAACCCAGCAAGUGUCACCCAAGUGGAAAUUUACUAGGUGCACCAAAGUCCAAGCCAACAGGGUGGGGAACAUACAUUGACACUUCAGCUCCUUGAAGGCCUUGCAGUUUUCCUGCUCCAUGAUCCCACACACCACAGCACGGUCGGCUGUGGUAGCAUUCGGGUUGAGCAGGGUCGCCAGGCUGGUGCUGACGUCCCGCCUGCCACCACUGCUGCCUGCGGUGGCAGACAAGGUGCCAGGGCCCACAGAAGCCGAUGAGGCAGCCUGCCCUGAGUGGCCCCAUAAAAGGCUGCAAUCGAAGCGUGUGUUUGCAGCCCUGCAGCAUCGAGGGUGGCACUGUCUGGACUGAAUGACACAAGCGAGCAAGCUAUGUAUUUACAAGUACUCCCCCACCCUUCAUGUGUCGAUUGCUCGGUAAUCCGCGAGGCCCCAAUCUUCUGUGGUGAUUCUGGCUGCUGAUGACGCUGCACUCUGCCUGAAAUUGACCAAAUCAGGGCAGUGCUGUCCUCCUCAUAGGAUAGCAUGCCACAGGGCAGGCUCCCCCUGAACCGCUUGACUGCAGCAUUGACAUCCUCGUGCGUGGAGAACUUCCUCAGAAAGCUUGUUCUCAAUGCUGUCCCGGUAACAUCAAAGAAUGGAGGCGCUACCUGGACCUCACUGCCGUCUGUGUAGGGCAUUGUUAACGAGACAACAUCGCCUGCUGACCUGACGCCUGCAGCACCGGCCAUGGAGCUCACCCUUUCCCUUGAAGUAAUAAGUUGCAUUCUGCUUCUUGAAAAUGCUCGCUGAUAUCAUGUUACCUCCCAGCUCAAAACUAAGCGGUAUCACGUUUUGGCUCUGCUGAUCAUAGGAUUCCCCUAAAGCACACCGGAGUUCAAUACUUCCGGGAAAGUCUUGUUCCAUUUUCCAGCUUAUGGAACUAUAGAGUUGCACUUGUCCAGGUCAAGACGGCGCGGAAGCUAUUGGUCCGUCCUGUAUCCUAGAGUCGUGGCUAGUGUAAACUGUAUCAGGUAUAACAAUGGAAUACAAGAACAUAGAGAGCGAGGCAGGUCGUGAUAAGACUUGGCUGAUGACAUGCAAGUAUACAAGUACGGCGCCCAUACUAGAAUACCGCCAACUCGCCAUCAGUACUAUCCCUGCGAGGUUCGCGUGGAUCUUCGUUUCUCUUCGCUGUUCAAUCUGUUCUGUGUAUCCCUGCUGGUCGCUUGUGGUGCGAUCACUGCAGAUGAUUCGAACUCAUCAGCUUCUUAUCGGGACGGCAGAGCAUCAGUAUCAGCAGGUCGUCGAUGGUCGUCGCAGGUCGUCGCAGUUCUGGGUCUGCCCCAGGGACUCGGUGAUUAGAGGCCCGCUUGGACACAAGUAUGUCUUGCCAUGCAAUGCCACCCUGGGGACUUCCCUCAAGUUGCCGGGUGACGGCGGUAAACUGGACUUCAUGUUUAUGAAGCUGAAGGUGUACUCCGUCUACUGUGUCCCUGAGGGAGCGGUUCCUGGUGGGUGGGUGAAAGCUACGGUGCCGAGCCUAAAAGAUGUGUACGGGGGGAGCAUCAAGGAAAGCCAGCUCUAUUUCCUCCUGUCCUAUGAGGGAAAGGAGCAGGAGUUGUGCAGACGGCUCCCCACCUUGUCUGCGGACGAGGUCGAGAAGAGCAUGGUCGUUUUCAACCCUUUCGGGUGGUGGGGUCUUGCUCGACUCAGAUGUGUUUAUCACACCCGAGCCGUACGGUGAGUGGCCACCGCCCGUUGAAAGGGUUGAAAACUACCAUGCUCUUCUCGACCUCGUCCGCAGAUAAGGUGGGGAGCCGUCUGCACAACUCCUGCUCCUUUCCCUGAUAGGACAGGAGGAAAUAGAGCUGGCUUUCCUUGACACUCCCCCCGUACACAUCUUUUAGGCUCGGCACCGUAGCUUUCACCCACCCACCAGGAACCGCUCCCUCAGGGACACAGUAGACGGAGUACACCUUCAGCUUCAUAAACAUGAAGUCCAGUUUACCGCCGUCACCCGGCAACUUGAGGGAAGUCCCCAGGGUGGCAUUGCGCAGCAAGACAUACUUGUGUCCAAGCGGGCCUCCAAUCACCGAGUCCCUGGGGCAGACCCAGAACUGUGACGACCUGUGACGACCAUCAACGACCUGCUGAUACUGAUGCUCUGCCGUCCCGAUAAGAAGCUGAUGAGUUCGAAUCAUCUGCAGUGAUCACACCACAAGCGACCAGCAGGGAUACACAGAACAGAUUGAACAGCGAAGAGAAACGAAGAUCCAUGCGAACCUCGCAGGGAUAGUACUGAUGGCGAGCUGGCGGUAUUCUAGUAUGGGCGCCGUACUUGUAUACUUGCAUGUCAUCAGAAGUCCACGAAAGCACGCUCGGGCGCCACAUGAUCGAAGUCUUUGGUGAGCCCGUGGAGACUGAGCACAUAUGCUACAUGAACAACCUGCCGGUUGCUAGGGCAAUGCGAGAUGGCGCUGGCGAGACCAUGUGGUGCUUGUCACGCCCCCAUGAUUCAAAGCAAGCUCCGGAUAACAUAACAACACUGCGUGCGCUGUUGUUGCAGGGCGUGUACUGAUGCCGAGGCGCUGAAUCCAUCAAGGUGCGACCUGGUGGAGCGCCUCACGUCCUCGGUGCAGGCUUCAGUACCGGAGGUGUUUGGGAGUGACACCUUCACCGACAGCGGUGGCGUUGGUGCCCAUCACGUGUACCACGGCAGCUGCCAGCUGGCUUGCGACAUGCUGGUGGGCAGCAGGUGGGUCCGUUCCGGAUCUAUCAAUGACUACAAGUAGUAUUAAGGCUUGUCUACCUUCACCUCACAAACUGCUCAACCGCAACUAACAAUAUUGAUACUGCACACCUGUUGCAAACAAGGUCGGACUUCACCACGCCGAUCUGUAACUAACGCCUGGUGUCAAAACCGUGAUGCCCCUGCUGCAGGCACUCCCGCUCCUGCUCCCAUGAGGAUUACCCGCUCCAGGCCCCAAGCGUUAUCAUUGUAGCAUGGGGGCGGAAAAUAGUGUGGGUUGCACCGGGGUCGUUUUCCCAGCUGCUCUGCAGCCCUGCCUGCUCCAUGAGGCAAGGGAAGCUGCUGCUGGACUCAAUGUACAACAUCACACCCUCAUCCUUGGAGGACCUCGUGAAAGAGUUUGGGGGGGCCAUCUAUGAGUUAGGCCCUGGUGAUGGCACCGUUGUCCCGCCUGGAUGUGUCCAUGCAGCCUAUAACACUGAGCCAUGCUUGUCCAUUAACGUUAACUGGAUGUUCUGCAGCCAGGACCAGUGGGCUGCAUGCUUAACCGCGACCAGCCUGACGUGCCUGCAAACACGCAAGUAUGGCUUCAGGGCCCUGGCCAGGGAAAGGCUACCGCAAGGCUCUGACACUGACAUCGAGGCGCUUGCUGCAGACCUGGAGCAGAAGGUGAAGUCCGUGGCAGGAAGCACCGAUUCGGUCCUGGGAUGCCACCACUUCGACCGGGGCUUCACGUCCUGGAUAGGAGACCGGCUGGCCUCACACAUGUCCAUCGUGGCUGCACAAAAGGUGUGGGGGAGGGGCUUGGGCUGGGGGGCGUAGGAGGGAUGCAAGCGUGAGUGUUGGGGUGGGGGGCCUAUCUGGGGAUAUAAGUUGAGAUGCGCCUGAUCAUGCCCCCCUGAAUACAGGCGGGGUCCCCAUUGCCCUCGAGUGACUGGCCCAUUUGGCACGGCCCCCGUAUUCUGUACCCUACUGCUUGUAGAGCGGUUAAAUGGUUGCCUCUUCAAGGGUUGUGAUGGUGGUUGCCCUCCUCCGGGGAGACGUUCCUGGCCUGGACGGUCUCCUCGUGACAGGGGCCAGUGCCAAAUGGCGGGGGUCAGUGCAAAGAAGCGGACCUAUGGAAGCUGACAGCGUACCUGGUGCAGAUGUAUGCAUGCACUAUAUACAGCUCGGCCGUUGCAUUGACCAACCGAUGCUAGAUGGGUGUUUCAGUACUAAGACUGGGGUAGAGGCUGACAGGUGAAGGCACUGCGAAAAGUGGAAGGGGGUCGUUGAUUUGGGCUUGCAUCCUCUGCAUGUGGAUCAUGACACCUAAAAUGGUGUGUGCACAUAACACGGGACAACCGCCGUUGAUAAUAAUGCAGAUUGACUUUGAGAAGGCCUUUGAUAGGGUGCCUCGUGAACACCUGUGGCUUCGGUUGCAGGAGAGGGGGAUUAGCGGCCCCAUGCUAGGUGCUCUGAGAAAAGCGUACGAGAAGGUGUCCAUGGUGAUGAAGGUAAAUGAGAAAGUGGGGGGGGAGUUUGAGUCUCAGCAAGGAGUGAAGCAAGAGACGUCAACAGUUACGGCUAUCAGGCCAGGUAGUACCUGCCAAAGAUAGCGCUCGCUAUCUGGGCUUGGUAUAUGGGCCAGAACGGCCUUUUAGUGCGUGCCGUCAGCAGUUAUGCCAUGCAGGUCGGUCCGCUAUGUUUUCCUUAAGUGCAAAGUUGGACAAAAUGAAGCUGUUUGCCCCCGAUGUACUAAUGCGGUGUUUUGCAACCCAAGUCCGAGCAAUUCUGUUGUAUGGCUGCCAGGCGUGGGGCCCUUUUGCGCUGGCAGAGGUCGUGGACAGGGUGGGAAGACAGCGGGAUAAAGCCAACCUUGCGGAGGGCAUGUUUGAAGCCUGUUUGAAGGAUAGCGCAGUCCAGCUGCAGAUUUUAUUCAUGAGGCAGGUAGUGGGGACGGCACGGCCAUCCCACAGGCUGUUGUACGCGGAGCUGGCUGAACUCCCCUUACAAUAUUACAUGGUGAAGCAGAUCCUCCGUUUCUGGAACCGCCUUCAAAAGCAAGUGGGAUCCAUUGCUCAUGCCGUUUUACGGCAGGAGAUAACCGAUGCCCUGACCAACCCAGAAUGGGAGGGUUGGGGAAUCUCAAUGUUACAACUGUUUUCCUUCUUGGCGUGCAACAUUUGGAGUGGAAUACCGCAAGAAGUCGUGGGGGUAAAGGAGCGUGUUGACUGGUUGUUGAGUACUCUACCCAUCAGAAGGGAAGCAACCGGGAGUGCAAAUGGCGAAGUAUAAGCACUGGAUGGGGCUGCCCUUUUCGGGAGCCGCAGCCGUCAUGUGGCCAACACAUGCUAAGGUUUUCAUUCCUCGUUUAGCACAUUGUAAGGUAAUGCAGUUCCGUUUAUGUUGCUGGGCUUUGGAGGCAAACAGAGCAUGAAGGGGCAAGUACCACGUCCCCAGGGGGCAGCGGUUUUGCCACUGUUGUGGUACUAAUAGCCGAAUCGAGGAUGAAAAACACGUGUUAUUGGAAUGCCCAGCCUAUAAUGAUAUUCGUGCUGAAGAGGGAUUCGAUCAUCAACAGAGCAUGUUGGAGGCCAUGCAAUGGGAACCAGUACGUCUGGCGAGGAUAUUGGAACGUAUGUGGGCUCACCGAAACUCAAUUACCCCCUUUAGACGCUAGUCUGGGCUGAUGUGCGGUGUUUUCCUUUCCUCCGUGGCUUUUAGGUGUUGUAGUAUUACCCUUGGGCCCUCGGCUCAUAUGGGUAGUCUUACAGGUAUGGGGUCACACACCCCCAACCAUGUAACACACACACACACACACAUAACACGUCUUCGUCGCAAUUAAGCCCGUGAAAUUUUACGGGUGCUGUGCAUUACGGCUUGGGGGAUUACGGGUCAAGACCUUGUGAUUACGGGUAAUGUAACCUGUGGAUGACUUCCAGCACGGGCAACCAACAAAAUGUCACCUAUGUUCUUCCUUAUAAAAGGAAUGCUUUGGCAACUUAAAAAUAAGCAUGUUUACUAUUGACCGGUAAUUAUAUGUGAAGACCACGUGAUUACGGGUAAACAUGAAUUUACGGGUGAAAACCUUCCCCAGAGUGGAGGUGUAAGCUUUGCAUAAGUAUAAUCGACGAUCAAGAGGGUUUCAUCACGGAAUCCCCAUGAUCCCCUGGGCACAUAGGUGCUUCACGUCCUUGGUGAGUUCAGGCAGCAAUGCGUCCCACUGGUCAUCAGUGAAGAUGCAACGGCCAUGCCUGUCCUCCUAGAUAUCGUCAAGUGGGACGGCAAAAACCUUGUGUAUGGUCUCAGUGGCGGCGUGUUGCUGUUACCAGUGCGGAGGACCUUAUCACGAAGAUUAACGAGCAUGGUUUUUCGGCAAGUCAUUCUCCGAGUACAUGGCUGUGUCAGCAGCACCGCAUGGCCUGUACAUGGCAGUGAAUCGACGCGACGGUAGCUCCACUACAGGGCUGCACAAUCGCUCACGUCGGCGGUGGUACAUCUGGCUUAACACAGAAGCGCCAGCCACACCAACAAAAGGUCGAAGAAUGGGUGCUGGCCGAAGUGCUGGCCGCUGUGGACGCGGCCAUUGGACUUGGGCAGCACCUAUCGAAGUCCGGGCAUCGAAUCGAAAGCACCCGAAAGAAGACCUCCUUAUACUGAAUGAAUGGGGUGUUACACUGUUCUGGGCCACACCACAGUGCAGGGCAUGCCCUGCGCAGGGCGCGUGUUUACAUCUCUUAGGGUUUUAGGGUUUCAGUCCAUAUUCAGUAUGACUAUACGGGUUGGUCAGUUCCCUGCCACGCACUAACAAAGUCAUUAUAGUGGAAGAGCUUCUGGGACUGCUGUCUAGGUGUAUGGCGGCGGGGAAAUCAACAGCGACAACAAUUGUACAGCUUCCCCUUUAGGGGAGCUGCAGGACUAUUUAAAGUGUCCUUGUUAGCACCCACCAUCAAUACUCUCUGCCGGCCGUUGCUGGGUACCUGUUAAGUCUUGAAGCAGGAGAGUAUGGGGGCCACCACCUUGGCUACCGGGGUACCGGUAGGCCCCAAGUAAGCGGUGCGAACCAGUGUUAUAUCACGACUUUUCAGAUAAGAACCGAUCGGUUGAUGCAGAUCCCGUGAUAUACCCAGGAUACGACAACCAGAGGGCUGCAGCAGGCCUGUGGGAGGACUGAUGAAGAUGACUCGACAGACACCCAUUUCCGCACGCUUUCCUACUCCACCUGCAGCCUGCAGGUCGCCUGCGUAUGGCCUGGGGCUUUAUCUGAAUAAAGCUGGGACCUGCGUCCCUGGUUCGUCUGUUCAACCGAGCGAGGUCAUGUUUGAAUGAAUUACAGAUAACGUAAUCUAUACGCCCCCCAGUCGUACUGGGGGACUCACCCGCGUGAGGCCCACGUGGGUUCUACAACUGCUAUUUGUUCACUUAUCUCAAUCGGUAUCUUUCAACAUCACCAUUCUGUGGUGAUACUACACAAGACUUGAACGUCAGUUUCCCUUAAGAGGUCAACGCCAGUUACAGCAAGUCAUCAGCUGACUGCAGUCCCUUCACACCCAGCCAAGGGCUCAGGCUGGCACCAUAGGUCCGAAAUUCAUCAGAGACCGACAAGAUAAGAUCAGCAUUGUCAGGGAAAGGAGACCGCGAUAGAAAGCAUGCGAGGAAUGAAAAGCAGGCCUGCAUGUGUGUUAAUUCCAUGCACACAGCUAAGAAUGAAGAUCCACACAUACCAACGCGCACCCUUCAGCGACCCGUGAAGUAAAAUCGGGAACGGUAAGGUUGCGCCACGAAAGUGCAGCAGGGAAACGAUUCUAUAUACAUCUUACAGCGACGUUCGCUCGAGGAUAUAGCGCUUGUCCGCAGUGGUUCAACACAGGAAAAAUGUGGGUUGCUUGGUAAGAAAGCAACGGUGCAAACAAAAGCACCUAACCGUUGAGAGCCGAGUUGAAUCGCGCUGUACAUCAUAAAACCCCCGCUCGUAUAUCCGUCUAUAUCCUCUAGCGCUAAGCCGUGAACACCGGCGGCAAUUUUUCCCAGUAUGGAAUGAGACGUGCGUCCGGAAGACGCUCGGACUCAAAAACGGCCGAAGCCCGUUCAUCCUCGUCCCUGCCUGCUUGACCCGUUCAGACAUGCAAACGCGAAAAUGUACACAAAACAGACUAUCCGACCACGCGUUUACUACACAACAAACCAACCCUAAACAUCUUCAUAUACUAAAUAAAUUGCUCGAUUAGCGUUGCAGUUACACACGCAUGUCGGUCGAAGGAGCCCUUCCAUACCGGCAGCCAGUAGUCGUUACGCACAUGCCAUCAGCAUCACCACAAACCUUUACAGCAUUUAUUUCCCCACAUGUUCCGCCACACUCUUCCAAAAAAGGACGCAUACCCGCGAUCGCUGCCCCUAACAAUUAAUAUUAUUUCCGCCACGGUUCGAUUAUGCAGGAGGAUUAAUUGCGACAUGCACCAGCAGCAGGCUAGUACCCAUGCCCACGGACGCCACCCACUAGCUAAGACAAACUCAACAUCCGGAUUUAAUUAUCGACUAAUGGCAGCAAAUUAACCCAAAGGGCAACAGGCUGCGAGGGUCACGCACAUGACAUCAAUCACUAGGGCCGAUCGGUCUCAUUAAUCCAUAGCAUGAAUUUUUCAUACCUGCUGCCAUGAUACAUAUACUUAUUGCCAGUUCGCCCGGCCGACUGAGCCUCACGUGAUGCAUGAAUUGGAGUAUUAAAAUCACUCGCAUGAAGCCGAAUUAAUUUCGCUCCCCGGUGCCGCAGUACACUGGUACGCACGGCAACCGUAGCCAACUGCAAGUCGUUCCUCUUCACUCUCGCAGCGAAAGGGAAGCUGGCGGAGCCAUGGCAUACUCAGCUGCUCAGCGCUCGGCGGCCGGCAUUACCGUUGCUAGUGGCAGCCGCAGAAACGCCAGGAAGCACGCGAGUCUUCAUAGUCUUGCUACAGUCACGGGAGCAGGUGCCAGUCGUCUCCCCGCGGCUGCUGCUGCAAAUACCGUCUCCUGCAAGAAUGUGCGCGUGAAAGAAGAGGAUGGCGGAACGGAACGCAGUCAGACAGCAGCGAGUCAAAGAUGGCUUAUUAAUCUGUAGACACGUCCAAACAUUUUCGCAGGGCCCGGGAUUUCCAUCCUUUGAUAGUUAUUUCUAAAACUCACACCUGGUUCACAUGCAUGCGGUGUACUGCACUGUGUCGUAAAUGAAAGCAGGAUGGCUAAUGUCCCAAGACUGUGGAAAUCCGUUUGUUAGUUGGGUCCGUACAUGUCUGUACAUGUUGAUCCGUUCGCUUACCCGUAAGAUACCGUACUUACCGCAGAACAGCGGAUCUGAACAGCCACCGCAGUCCAGGGAGCAGGUUCCACACGAUUCAGUGUAACCUUUCCUGGCGCUGGUGCACUUGCCAUCACCGCAAUAGGUACUGCUGCAAGAACCGCAAUCCGUGCAGCCACUGGUGCCGCUGGCGCACUUCUCGCCCAGCGCCGGCUCGCAAAUGCCAUUCCGGUUGCAAGUGGAGCAGACGCCACAGUCGCCUGGGCAGCUGGCGCAGGUCUCUCCGUCCGCAGCAUUACACACGCCGUCCCCGCAGCAUGUCAAAGUACCGUUGCUGAGGCGCGUACCGCAGUCCGCCUGGCAUGUAAGGCAGGUCUCACCGCCUGCGAGUGUGUGGAAAUUGCGGCCAGGAGUAUACGACAGCACAAAUGUCAACGCCCACGUCACACCAGUCACGCACUACUGUAGUAAGCCAGCCAGCCAGCCUGAUAGCCAGCCAGCCAGCCAGUCAGCCCGAUAGCCAUCCAGCCAGCCCGAUAGCCAGCCAGCCAGCCAGCCAGCCCGAUAGCCAGCCAGCUAGCUAGCCAGCUAGCCAGCCCGAUAGCCAGCCAGCCAGCCAGCCAGCCCGAUAGCCAGCCAGCUAGCUAGCCAGCUAGCCAGCCCGAUAGCCAGCCAGCCAGCCAGCCAGCCUGAUAGCCAGCCAGCCAGCCAGCCAGCCCGAUAGCCAGCCAGCCAGCCAGCCAGCCCGAUAGCUAGCCACCCAGCCAGCCAGCUAGCUAGCCAGCUAGCAAGCCCGAUAGCCAGCCAGCCAGCCAGCUGUUCUUCCUCUGCACACAUAGCCGCGAAAAGCAACCUGCCU